AAGAGAUCCAUAUCUGAGCAAUUAUUAACAAUAUUGUAAACAUGAUCUCAACUUUGAUGGUGCAUUAUACAUUAAUGGAAUCCAGUGUUAAGGUUUUGGCGACUCUAUACGCAUUCGUGAAGCCAACACAGUGGCUUUCACUAUUAAAUAUUUUGUUUGGAAUCUGCACGAUGGAGAAAAAGCAUGCUGUUGUGCGAUAUUGCGGGAGUGUUUACGCCAGGAUCUUUCCAAUACUCAGCUUGGUUACGGUUGCAAAGCGAGAUUGAUUCAGAAGCUACAAAAGGGGUAUGGGAUUUGAACCGUGGUUUGUCUAUCAUUUUCACAUAAAAGAUGUGUUUUGUAACUGUAUGUGUGUAUAUAUGUUCUGCAGUAUAAAGUACGCAGCUUUGGAUGCGUAAUGAUCCUUCUAUUGAUAAAUCUUUUAGUUGUGCUUAUCUAUUACAAUCCCUGUUGCGCUUAUCUAUUAAAUUUAGUUAAUUUUGUUAUUAAUAACUUAAACUUAUAACAGUGCUAUGACAUCUGGUCAAGCUUAUGAAGCUAUGAACAAUGCUGGAUAUCUUGAUUCUGACAUGAUUGUUAUUUUGAACGACAACAAACAAGUUUCGUUACCAACUGCUACUCUUGAUGGAUCUGCAGCACCUGUAGGAUCUUUGAGUAGUGCACUUAGUCGGUUACAAUCAAACAAACCUCUUAGAGAACUGAUAUCUAACAACCUCUGCUUUCAUUUUAUUGCCAUUGUUUAGAGCUAUGAUAGAGUGUGGUAAUACAAUAUAAGGAAUUUUGAGUUAAUGCUUAUACAAGGUGUAUGGAUAGGAAGCUUUCAUACCGACCAGAAGGUCGAGAAGAUUAUAUUAACUUCUAUUGCCCAGGUUGGAUAAAGACAACUCUCACAGGUUUUACAGAGAACAAUGUUGUUGAGGAAGGUGCUGAUAUUGAGUACGGCUUGCCCUUCUGCAUGAUCAAACAAUACUGUUCUAUACUGAAUUAACAAGUCAUUUCCAAAAGUAUCCUUUGUUGUGGUGAUUGUUCCAUAUACAUUCACUUUGGUUCCUAAGAUACUUACUUUACUUCCAAGUUGAGCCUUUAUUUUAUAUUAUUGGUUAUUAAAAUCUCACAUUUUUAGUGGUUUGAUAUUAUCUAAAGACGAUGAUUAUUCAUUCUGUAGGAGGCCAUUGAGACCAUGGUUGCUUAUUCUGCAAUUUCCAAGUAUAAGUACCUUUUUUAAUCUGUAAAAAUCGAACUCGGUAUUCAGAGUUUACAACACUCGCAUACACGCGCGCGCGUGAAGUAUUUGCCAAUAUUAGCUUGGUUUUAUAGCUUUGAUUUGUGAAUGCAGGUAUGAUUAUGGGUGCGGCAUUGUCAGUUGUUUACUACAAUAUGAGGCUUAGACAUCCAGCGCUAGAUAUGCCGCUUAUAGAUUAUGAUUUGGCUUUGCUUUUCCAACCUAUGUUGAUGCUUGGAAUAAGUAUUGGAGUUGUAUGUAAUGUCAUGUUUGCUGAUUGGAUGGUCACAGUUUUGCUUAUCAUCAUAUUCAUAGGUACAUCAACAAAAGCAUUAUUGAAAGGCAUAGAUACAUGGAAAAAGGAAACAGUGAUGAAAAAGGUAAA